AUGAAAACAAGGCUGAAGAGAGCGGCGUGUUUAGAGCAGGAGGUUUUUGUACAGCCAGUAAACCAGUUUGUAUCACUGUGGAGGACUUUUGGUGGAGGAACCAAACUGUCAGUUGGAAGUGUGGCUGCGCCCACCCUCACGGUCCUGCCCCCCUCCAGCGUGGAGCUGCAGCAGGGGAAGGCCACACUCGUGUGUUUGGCCAACAAGGGCUUCCCCUCAGACUGGAGGCUGAGCUGGAAGGUAGACGGGAGCAGCUGGAGCUCGGGGGUUAGCCAAAGCCCCGGGCUUCUGCAGAAGGACGACGGCCUCUACAGCUGGAGCAGCACCCUGACCCUCCAGGAGGACCAGUGGCUAAAGAAGACAGUGACCUGUGAGGCCACCAUGGACUCCCAGACUCCUGUCAGCCAAACCCUGAGGAGAGAGCAAUGCACUGGGCAGUGAGCGUCCACGCGUCUAUUGGAGCUGCUAGAGCUCCUCUUGAUCUUCAGUGAGCUCAAACAUGGCUCUGCUUAAUGCUCUGAUCUUCAUCUCAUCACUUCAUAAUCACAAUAAAGAGCUUCAGUAUUAAUAUCUACAGUCUUUCAUUGUUUGUGUUAUUUUCUUUAUACUAAACCAGCAACAAUAAACAUGUAAACAUUUCUUUGAUGGUUAAUUUACUGGAAAUAUGUUUGUUCAUUUCUUUAAUAAAUAAAGCAUUUGGUUUAGCAGAA